rnacentral:lncRNA from 1 species
AAUGCACUGUUUCUGACAAGCAUGACUUCAGAGCUGAUCAGGGAUGAUCUCUGGGCAGGUUUCAGUCAUUCCUAGUCUGGCUCCAGGGUAAUCAGCAGCCUUCAUUUUUGACCCCUUUACAGUUUGCCGCCUUUAAACCCAAGUCAGGCUGUCUUCCCCACCUCACCCCCUUCAGGAGUUCCUAGUACCUAGGAAGAUGGUCAUCAGUUCAUUAGAGAGUUGACUAAUUGCUUUAUAUCUAUUACACAGACUGGAUGACUCUCUCCCACUCUGUGGGUUUCUAUGCUGCAAAAUCUGGGAAGGCCAUCUGAAAAGAAAGCAGACCAUGUUUGAGAAAGAUUUGAGGUACAUCUGGCUGAAAGCAGGUCUGAAGGAAGCCCCUGAAGGCUGGUAGACCCCAAAGAUCUACAAGAGGAACAAG